rnacentral:rRNA from 1 species
CCUACGGGGGGCAGCAGUGGGGAAUAUUGCACAAUGGGCGAAAGCCUGACGCAGCGACGCCGCGUGAGGGAUGAAGGUCUUCGGAUCGUAAACCUCUGUCAGCAGGGAAGAACGGUCACUGUGCUAAUCAGCAGUGAAUUGACGGUACCUGCAAAGGAAGCACCGGCUAACUCCGUGCCAGCAGCCGCGGUAAUACGGAGGGUGCGAGCGUUAAUCGGAAUUACUGGGCGUAAAGCGCUCGUAGGCGGUAUGUCAAGUCAAGGGUGAAAUCCCCGCGCUCAACGUGGGAACUGCCUUUGAAACUGGCAAACUGGAGUGUGUGAGAGGAUAGUGGAAUUCCAGGUGUAGGAGUGAAAGCCGUAGAUAUCUGGAGGAACAUCAGUGGCGAAGGCGACUAUCUGGCACAUAACUGACGCUGAGGAGCGAAAGCGUGGGUAGCAAACAGGAUUAGAUACCCCAGUAGUC